GUCUUCCAACAUCACUAAUGAGUGGGAUAAUUAGAUAGCUGUGGAAUCACUCUCUGUGUUUUGUAACCUAGGGGCUCCCUUUGUAGUCAAUGGAAAAACUCCAGCUGACUUCUGUGAGGCCAUCACCAGACCCUGAGUUGCUAGCUUGCUCAACAGACAAUAAUUGGAGGCGGGACCAUGCUCAUGUAUCUCUCGACUAUACUAUGUUUCAUGGUACUGCAGGCACUAGAACGGAUUCUGGCUCUCUCUGCUGCAUUCCUACAUGGUUAGGCUCUGCAUUUACUGAAGCCUUGGGAUGGCUACAAUCAACAGUGGGUCAGGUGACUGAAUAAGGGAGAAAGAUGUUGUUGCUCACAGGCCACAUUCAUGCAUCUGAGGCAAACCAGGCAGAGAGGAGCUCUCUGCUACUACCAUGUUUUGUUGGUGAGGCUUCAACAGAGCCACAUGAGGGACAUCCAUCUCUAUCAGCCACCUUUUCCAAUGGAGGGGAGCUUCCCCUAUGCCUGAAAAGGGGGCUACUACCUCAUUUCUGGUCUAACCACGCUCUUCACAUGCUCAUGUUGAAGGCUACUUCUAGCCACACAGAGCUAUUGCUACUACCAUUCGUCUCCAUCUGUCCAAAGCUCAGAAGAGGAGAGGAGCUGUUACCUUCUCCUGCUUCUCUCACCCCCAGUUGUUCCUGCUGACACCAAGAUUCCCUAAAGCUGUAUGUAACCAAUACUAUAUUAUUUUCAUGACGAAUCCUUUCACUCCAGGGACACUGAGAAUAGUUUCAGCUGCUGCUGCUGCUGAUAGCUGCAGUAUGUCUCCGUUGGUUUUGGGCAGGUUUUUGACCCAUGGAAGAAGCCAUUGCUCCCGUCCACAAAUCUGCAGCUCCUUUGGAAUGUGCAUGAGACCAAGACAAUUUGCUCAGAGGCUCCAGGCCAUGAUGGCUGAUGGUCUCCAUCACCCCAGCCCCCUGCAAACCUCUUCCUGAAAGUGCAGCCAUCCUUAGAAGAGGAUACAGCCUAUCAGUAAUACCUUUGCUCCCAGAGCUUUAUUGUGAGCAAAUGGAUGAUGCAGCUCACCUUCUGGCUCUGCCCCAGGUUCACAGAUUCCCAAACCCAUAAAGAGCCCUCUAUGGGAUCAGGGAAAGGAGAGAUCUGCUGGUAGAUCUUGGCAGUAUGAUUUAGCCCAAAUGAAUUUAGUGUUGACAUGAUGUAAAUGGAAACUGACUCCUCAGGUACGGCACCUGCAAUGGCAAUGCAAACUUCCUCUUACUGCUUCUCCUGAAUGCACUCACUCUGUACUGGAACCACUGUAGGUGUGAGAAUGUAGUUUGUUCUUCCAUUCCCAUUCGAUCGUUGACCUCUUGAGACCAUCAGUUAAGAAUGAUUGGUGGUAUUUUUCAUGCAGACACCUGAACACAAUGAACUGUAGUGAGCUCACCACUUCACUUCAGUAGAGCAAUAAAAAUUCUUAUCCCAUAAUACUCACCCAGCCAAUACUUCCCUUGAUUUCAAUAGGAGAUUUACUGAGUAAAGACUGAGGACUGGGCUUUGGGUUACUGCUGCUCUGGGCUUGAUUUGAAUGGUCAACCUGGAUGUGUGUAAAGCUCCAUAUCUCAUUACUAGUCCCCUGUGCCUCCCCUAAAUGCAUGAAGUGGAUUAAAAUGCUAGUUCAUUAGGUUAAAGUGCUGAAUUACUUAAAAACUCUUAGUCAUAUGUCAUGACUUGAUGAGCAUUGCAGAGAAGGACUGUAAAGGAAAAAAAAUGCAGAUAGCCAUUGUCUCAGUAUAGUUAAAAUGUUACAUGGCUGUAAAUAUGUAAAUAAGGAUAAAAAACAUGGGUCUAGAUAGGUAUUCAAUAUUUUAUAACUCUCAAAUGAAAUAAUUAACUUAGCUUGUUUUGAUAGAUCCAUAUCUCUAAUCCUUAAUUAUGUAUUUAUAUCACUUUUACAUUAAUAUUCUAUGACAAUAUCUGUCAUAAUCACAUUUCUUGCUGUCUUGUUUAUUGCCUUUCCUAUGUAUUAAAGCUCCUUCCCUUUGUGUAC